rnacentral:rRNA from 1 species
CGAAAGCUAUUUAGGUAGCGCCUCAUGUAUCACUGUAGGGGGUAGAGCACUGUUUCGGCUAGGGGCCCAUCCCGGGUUACCAAACCGAUGCAAACUCCGAAUACCUACAAGUGCCGAGCAUGGGAGACACACGGCGGGUGCUAACGUCCGUCGUGGAGAGGGAAACAACCCAGACCGCCAGCUAAGGUCCCCAAAUUCCAGUUAAGUGGGAA